rnacentral:sRNA from 1 species
GCUGGAUAUGGUGGCACAUGACUGUAUUCCUGGCAACUUUGGAGGCUGAGGCAGGUGGAUGGAUCUCUUGAGCCCAGGACUUUGAAGCCAGCCUGGGCAACAUAGCAAGACCCUGCUCCAA